GACGAACGCUGGCGGCGUGCUUAACACAUGCAAGUCGAACGGAAAGGCCUGCUUUCCCUUGUGGAUUGCGGGUACUCGAGUGGCGAACGGGUGAGUAACACGUGAGUGAUCUGCCCCCAACUUGGGUAUAAGCCUGGGAAACUGGGUCUAAUUCCCGAUAGGACUGCAGGGUGGUGCCUGUGGUGGAAAACGAUUUUCUAGUGGUUGGGGAUGAGCUCGCGGCCUAUCAGCUUGUUGGUGGGGUAAUGGCCUAUCAAGGCGGCGACGGGUAGCCGGCCUGAGAGGGUGGACGGCCACAUUGGGACUGAGAUACGGCCCAGACUCCUACGGGAGGCAGCAGUGGGGAAUAUUGCACAAUGGGCGGAAGCCUGAUGCAGCGACGCCGCGUGGGGGAUGACGGCCUUCGGGUUGUAAACUCCUUUCGACCGCGAGGAAGCCACCUGGUUGGAAGGGUGGUGACGGUAGUGGUAGAAGAAGCACCGGCUAACUACGUG
rnacentral:rRNA from 1 species